UACGAAGGGGGCUAGCGUUGCUCAGAAUCACUGGGCGUAAAGGGUGCGUAGGCGGGUUUUUAAGUCAGAGGUGAAAUCCUGGAGCUCAACUCCAGAACUGCCUUUGAUACUGAAAGUCUUGAGUAUGGGAGAGGUGAGUGAACUGCGAGUGUAGAGGUGAAAUUCGUAGAUAUUCGCAAGAACACCAGUGGCGAAGGCGGCUCACUGGCCCAUAACUGACGCUGAGGCACGAAAGCGUGGGGAGCAAACAGG
rnacentral:rRNA from 1 species